UACGGAGAGUGCAAACGUUGUUCGGAUUCACUGGGCGUAAAGGGCACGUAGGCGGCUCGGCAAAUCGGUCGUGGAAUCCCGACGCUUACCGUCGGAACGGCGGCCGAAAAUACCGGGCUCGAGGGCGUGAGGGGUCACUGGAACUCCUGGUGAAGCGGUGAAAUGCGUAGAUAUCAGGAGGAACGCCGGAGGCGAAAGCGAGUGACUGGCGCGUUCCUGACGCUGAGGUGCGAAAGCUAGGGGAGCAAACGGG
rnacentral:rRNA from 1 species